AGAGUUUGAUCCUGGCUCAGGAUGAACGCUGGCGGCAUGCCUAAUACAUGCAAGUCGAACGAGAGGAAAAGAAGCUUGCUUCUUUGAAUCUAGUGGCGAACGGGUGAGUAACACGUAGGUAACCUGCCCAUGUGCCCGGGAUAACUUCUGGAAACGGAUGCUAAAACCGGAUAGGUAGCAGACAAGCAUUUGACUGCUAUUAAAGUGGCUACGGCCAUGAACAUGGAUGGACCUGCGGUGCAUUAGCUAGUUGGUGAGGUAACGGCCCACCAAGGCGACGAUGCAUAGCCGGCCUGAGAGGGCGGACGGCCACAUUGGGACUGAGACACGGCCCAAACUCCUACGGGAGGCAGCAGUAGGGAAUUUUCGUCAAUGGGGGGAACCCUGAACGAGCAAUGCCGCGUGAGUGAGGAAGGUCUUCGGAUCGUAAAGCUCUGUUGUAAGAGAAAAACGACAUUCAUAGGGAAUGAUGAGUGAGUGAUGGUAUCUUACCAGAAAGUCACGGCUAACUACGUGCCAGCAGCCGCGGUAAUACGUAGGUGGCGAGCGUUAUCCGGAAUGAUUGGGCGUAAAGGGUGCGUAGGUGGCAGAACAAGUCUGGAGUAAAAGGUAUGGGCUCAACCCGUACUGGCUCUGGAAACUGUUCAGCUAGAGAACAGAAGAGGACGGCGGAACUCCAUGUGUAGCGGUAAAAUGCGUAGAUAUAUGGAAGAACACCGGUGGCGAAGGCGGCCGUCUGGUCUGGAUUCUGACACUGAAGCACGAAAGCGUGGGGAGCAAAUAGGAUUAGAUACCCU
rnacentral:rRNA from 1 species